UAGUUGCCUCAUGUACUAAUAUAUGAUGAUGGUCAAAGAGGUUUGGAACCUUUGUUGUCUACAUUUCUCUAGAGAAUAACGAUUUUAUAAUGGUUAGUCCACUGAUUUAAGGAGUAUAUGAAGUUUUACCAAAUUAGCUUAUUAAAAAAAUUGAACGAUGCUCAUGCACCAUGAAAGAGAGUUUAGCAUACAUUUAUACAAAUGUAGAAUGUGGUUAGAAAUUUUAAAACAACACUAAAUAUUAUAGGGUUCAGUAUAUAAAGCACUUACCAAAAUUCAAUAUUUUUGUAGGAGUUAACAC
rnacentral:lncRNA from 1 species